rnacentral:rRNA from 1 species
GAUGAACGCUGGCGGCGUGCCUAAUACAUGCAAGUCGAGCGAACGGACGAGAAGCUUGCUUCUCUGAUGUUAGCGGCGGACGGGUGAGUAACACGUGGAUAACCUACCUAUAAGACUGGGAUAACUUCGGGAAACCGGAGCUAAUACCGGAUAAUAUUUUGAACCGCAUGGUUCAAAAGUGAAAGACGGUCUUGCUGUCACUUAUAGAUGGAUCCGCGCUGCAUUAGCUAGUUGGUAAGGUAACGGCUUACCAAGGCAACGAUGCAUAGCCGACCUGAGAGGGUGAUCGGCCACACUGGAACUGAGACACGGUCCAGACUCCUACGGGAGGCAGCAGUAGGGAAUCUUCCGCAAUGGGCGAAAGCCUGACGGAGCAACGCCGCGUGAGUGAUGAAGGUCUUCGGAUCGUAAAACUCUGUUAUUAGGGAAGAACAUAUGUGUAAGUAACUGUGCACAUCUUGACGGUACCUAAUCAGAAAGCCACGGCUAACUACGUGCCAGCAGCCGCGGUAAUACGUAGGUGGCAAGCGUUAUCCGGAAUUAUUGGGCGUAAAGCGCGCGUAGGCGGUUUUUUAAGUCUGAUGUGAAAGCCCACGGCUCAACCGUGGAGGGUCAUUGGAAACUGGAAAACUUGAGUGCAGAAGAGGAAAGUGGAAUUCCAUGUGUAGCGGUGAAAUGCGCAGAGAUAUGGAGGAACACCAGUGGCGAAGGCGACUUUCUGGUCUGUAACUGACGCUGAUGUGCGAAAGCGUGGGGAUCAAACAGGAUUAGAUACCCUGGUAGUCCACGCCGUAAACGAUGAGUGCUAAGUGUUAGGGGGUUUCCGCCCCUUAGUGCUGCAGCUAACGCAUUAAGCACUCCGCCUGGGGAGUACGACCGCAAGGUUGAAACUCAAAGGAAUUGACGGGGACCCGCACAAGCGGUGGAGCAUGUGGUUUAAUUCGAAGUAACGCGAAGAACCUUACCAAAUCUUGACAUCCUUUGACAACUCUAGAGAUAGAGCCUUCCCCUUCGGGGGACAAAGUGACAGGUGGUGCAUGGUUGUCGUCAGCUCGUGUCGUGAGAUGUUGGGUUAAGUCCCGCAACGAGCGCAACCCUUAAGCUUAGUUGCCAUCAUUAAGUUGGGCACUCUAAGUUGACUGCCGGUGACAAACCGGAGGAAGGUGGGGAUGACGUCAAAUCAUCAUGCCCCUUAUGAUUUGGGCUACACACGUGCUACAAUGGACAAUACAAAGGGCAGCGAAACCGCGAGGUCAAGCAAAUCCCAUAAAGUUGUUCUCAGUUCGGAUUGUAGUCUGCAACUCGACUACAUGAAGCUGGAAUCGCUAGUAAUCGUAGAUCAGCAUGCUACGGUGAAUACGUUCCCGGGUCU